rnacentral:rRNA from 1 species
UACGUAGGGGGCAAGCGUUGUCCGGAAUCAUUGGGCGUAAAGCGCGCGUAGGCGGCCCGGUAAGUCCGCUCUGAAAGUCCAGGGCUUAACCCUGGAAAGCGGGUGGAUACUGCCGGGCUUGAAUCCGGAAGAGGCGAGUGGAAUUCCUGGUGUAGCGGUGGAAUGCGCAGAUAUCAGGAGGAACACCAAUAGCGAAGGCAGCUCGCUGGGACGGUAUUGACGCUAAGGCGCGAAAGCGUGGGGAUCAAACAGG